CCCAUCAAAGUGAGGAACCCAGAAUACAGUGCCUUGAUGACUUUGCACAGAUUGUAGCUGUAUUUCUUGAGCUCCUGCUGAUUACGAGCAAGCAAGAAAUCAUUCGUUUGAAAUCAGUUCCCUGCUUCCCUGCAGUAAAUGGUGACAAAG